rnacentral:rRNA from 1 species
GACGUAGGUGGCGAACGUUAUCCGGAAUUAUUGGGCGUAAAGGGUGCGCAGGCGGUCGGGUGUGUCAGAUGUGAAAUCCCGAGGCUCAACCUCGGAACUGCGUCUGAAACUACUCGACUAGAGUACUGGAGAGGGUAACGGAAUUCACGGUGUAGCAGUGAAAUGCGUAGAUAUCGUGAGGAACACCAGAGGCGAAGGCGGUUACCUGGACAGUUACUGACGCUCAGGCACGAAAGCAUGGGGAGCAAAAGGG